AUUGAACGCUGGCGGCAGGCCUAACACAUGCAAGUCGAGCGGAGCGGCGGACGGGUGAGUAAUGCCUAGGGAUCUGCCUGGUAGUGGGGGAUCACGUCCGGGAACGGGCGCUAAUACCGCAUACUAUCAGGUGAGCCUAGGUCGGAUUAGCUAGUGGGUGGGGUAACGGCUCACCUAGGCGACGAUCCCUAGCUGGUCUGAGAGGAUGACCAGCCACACUGGAACUGAGACACGGUCCAGACUCCUACGGGAGGCAGCAGUGGGGAAUAUUGCACAAUGGGCGAAAGCCUGAUGCAGCCAUGCCGCGUGUAUGAAGAAGGCCUUCGGAUUGUAAAGUACUUUCAGCGGGGAGGCGUUACCCGAAGAAGAAGCACCGGCUAACUCCGUGCCAGCAGCCGCGGUAAUUC
rnacentral:rRNA from 1 species